rnacentral:rRNA from 1 species
UACGGGGGGGGCAAGCGUUGUUCGGAAUUACUGGGCGUAAAGGGCUCGUAGGCGGCCAACUAAGUCAGACGUGAAAUCCCUCGGCUUAACCGGGGAACUGCGUCUGAUACUGGAUGGCUUGAGUUUGGGAGAGGGACGCGGAAUUCCAGGUGUAGCGGUGAAAUGCGUAGAUAUCUGGAGGAAUACCGGUGGCGAAGGCGGCAUCCUGGACCGGCAUUGACGCUGAGGAGCGAAAGCCAGGGGAGCAAACGGG